CAGCCGUAAACUAUGCUCGCUAGGUGUCAGGCAUGGCGCGACCGUGUCUGGUGCCGCAGGGAAGCCGUGAAGCGAGCCACCUGGGAAGUACGGCCGCAAGGCUGAAACUUAAAGGAAUUGGCGGGGGAGCACAACAACGGGUGGAGCCUGCGGUUUAAUUGGACUCAACGCCGGACAACUCACCAGGGACGACAGCAAUAUGUAGGCCAGGCUGAAGACCUUGCCUGAAUCGCUGAGAGGAGGUGCAUGGCGUAGACGUCU
rnacentral:rRNA from 1 species